AUUGAACGCUGGCGGCAGGCCUAACACAUGCAAGUCGAGCGGAUGAAGGGAGCUUGCUCCUGGAUUCAGCGGCGGACGGGUGAGUAAUGCCUAGGAAUCUGCCUGGUAGUGGGGGAUAACGUCCGGAAACGGGCGCUAAUACCGCAUACGUCCUGAGGGAGAAAGUGGGGGAUCUUCGGACCUCACGCUAUCAGAUGAGCCUAGGUCGGAUUAGCUAGUUGGUGGGGUAAAGGCCUACCAAGGCGACGAUCCGUAACUGGUCUGAGAGGAUGAUCAGUCACACUGGAACUGAGACACGGUCCAGACUCCUACGGGAGGCAGCAGUGGGGAAUAUUGGACAAUGGGCGAAAGCCUGAUCCAGCCAUGCCGCGUGUGUGAAGAAGGUCUUCGGAUUGUAAAGCACUUUAAGUUGGGAGGAAGGGCAGUAAGUUAAUACCUUGCUGUUUUGACGUUACCAACAGAAUAAGCACCGGCUAACUUCGUGCCAGCAGCCGCGGUAAUACGAAGGGUGCAAGCGUUAAUCGGAAUUACUGGGCGUAAAGCGCGCGUAGGUGGUUCAGCAAGUUGGAUGUGAAAUCCCCGGGCUCAACCUGGGAACUGCAUCCAAAACUACUGAGCUAGAGUACGGUAGAGGGUGGUGGAAUUUCCUGUGUAGCGGUGAAAUGCGUAGAUAUAGGAAGGAACACCAGUGGCGAAGGCGACCACCUGGACUGAUACUGACACUGAGGUGCGAAAGCGUGGGGAGCAAACAGGAUUAGAUACCCUGGUAGUCCACGCCGUAAACGAUGUCGACUAGCCGUUGGGAUCCUUGAGAUCUUAGUGGCGCAGCUAACGCGAUAAGUCGACCGCCUGGGGAG
rnacentral:rRNA from 1 species